rnacentral:rRNA from 1 species
ACUUCCCUACGGGACGCAGCAGUGAGGAAUAUUGGUCAAUGGUCGGGAGACUGAACCAGCCAAGCCGCGUGAGGGAGGAAGGUACAGAGUAUCGUAAACCUCUUUUGUCAGGGAACAAAGGCGGGGACGUGUCCCCGGAUGAGUGUACCUGAAGAAAAAGCAUCGGCUAACUCCGUGCCAGCAGCCGCGGUAAUACGGAGGAUGCGAGCGUUAUCCGGAUUUAUUGGGUUUAAAGGGUGCGUAGGCGGAAUAUCAAGUCAGCGGUAAAAAUUCGGGGUUAAACCCCGUCGUGCCGUUGAAACUGG